UCUAUGUAUCCUUUUUUCUUGUGUUGCCUUGAAAUAAUAGCAGGAUCAUCCAAUACCUGCUCUCCUGCCUUCAAAGAUGUGGGGGGAGACUUAACCUGCAAGUUCUGAAAUGUAAAAUUCAUUAUAACAUGCACAUCCCAGAUGAGCAUAAUUGCAUGCAUACACAGCACAAGCACGAGAAGCGGAAAAAAACUAUGCUUCAAUGGAAUUGACAGAGAUUCAUACAUGCAAAUCAAUGUCAACAAUUACAUUCAAUAGAGAGAUAUUAAGCCAGGAAAAGUAUCAUAAAACUUUGAUGGAUGGAAAGUAAAGCUG